rnacentral:rRNA from 1 species
AUUGAACGCUGGCGGCAUGCCUUACACAUGCAAGUCGAACGGCAGCACGGGGGCAACCCUGGUGGCGAGUGGCGAACGGGUGAGUAAUAUAUCGGAACGUGCCCUAGAGUGGGGGAGUAACGUAGCGAAAGUUACGCUAAUACCGCAUACGAUCUAUGGAUGAAAGUGGGGGAUCGCAAGACCUCAUGCUCCUGGAGCGGCCGAUAUCUGAUUAGCAGUUGGUGGGUAAAGCCUACCAAGCGACGAUCAGUAGCUGGUUUGAGAGAACGACCAGCCACACUGGAACUGAGACACGGUCCAGACUCCUAC